ACCGGAAGUCCCUCCUCUUCCGCCCGAUGCAGCAAGACGGUCGUUCGCAAAUAUGUCGUGCUCCUUGUCAGCCGAAAGAAGACUUCUUGGGGAGCCGUCCUAGAAGGAUCUCAUGAUGCUGCAGCAGACCAGGGAUGAGUCAGAUGCCUUCUCGUUGAGCUUGAGAUCUGUCACUGUGACGUAUCAGGGAUGUGAGAGUCAGAAGUCUUCUUUUUGCUGAGCUUGAGGUUUCUCUGCCAUGCUGUACACCAAAUAUGCGAGAAGAAGGCUUGUUUGCUGAUCUCAGCCUCUGAUCUGUCACUGUGACGUAUCAGGGAUGUGAGAGUCAGAAGUCUUCUUUUUGCUGAGCUUGAGGUUUCUCUGCCAUGCUGUACACCAAAUAUGCGAGAAGGCGGCUUGUUUGCUGAUCUCAGCCUCUGACCAGGGGUAUGAGAGUUGGAUGUCUUUAUUUGACGACCAAAUAACAGUUACCUCCGGAUUCGACCACCAAGUGUUGCCAAAAAACAGAGUCUCCUGUGCCCCCUCGGAUUCCCGGGCCUGUCCUCUGGGCCCCCCUGGAGUGUCCUCGCAGACCCCGGGAUUCUAGUGCCCCACGCUGCCUUGACUACACCUCGUCUCCCGGGCUCACACCUUAGCCUACACGCACACUAACAACACUUCAAACAUUCCCAUUCUGCACACAUGCACUACACUCGCUUUGCACUCAUACACAUAGUCAGUGACACAUCUCAUAUCCAGAAUUCUAGUUGCGCCAUACACAUCCCGCAAAUUCCCCUCCCUGUUCCCAAUAAACA